rnacentral:rRNA from 1 species
UCAGAAUGAAAGCUGGCGGCGUGCUUAACACAUGCAAGUCGAACGGUAACAGGAAGUACUUGUACUUUGCUGACGAGUGGCGCACGGGUGAGUAAUAUAUAGGUAACGUGCCCCUUAGUCUGGGAUAGCCACUGGAAACGGUGAUUAAUACUGGAUAUUCCUGCUUGCAGGGAAAGGUUUUUCCCUAAGGGAUCCGCUUAUACUGUAUCAGCUAGUUGGUGAGGUAAUGGCUCACCAAGGCGAUGACACAUAGCGGGUUUGAGAGGAUGAUCCGCCACACUGGUACUGAGACACGGACCAGACUCCUACGGGAGGCAGCAGUGAGGAAUAUUGCACAAUGGGGGAAACCCUGAUGCAGCAACGCCGCGUGGAGGAUGACGCAUUUCCGUGUGUAAACUCCUUCUAUCAGAGAAGGACAUGACGGUAUCUGAUGAAUAAGCUCCGGCUAACUCCGUGCCAGCAGCCGCGGUAAUACGGAGGGAGCAAGCGUUAUUCGGAAUCACUGGGCGUAAAGGACGCGUAGGCGGGUUAUUAAGUCUGAUGUGAAAUCCUAUGGCUCAACCAUAGAACUGCAUUGGAAACUGGUAACCUAGAGUAUGGAAGGGGAAGAUGGAAUUAGUGGUGUAGGGGUAAAAUCCGUAGAUAUCACUAGGAAUACCGAAAGCGAAGGCGAUCUUCUGGGACAUUACUGACGCUGAGGCGUGAAAGCGUGGGGAGCAAACAGGAUUAGAUACCCUGGUAGUCCACGCCCUAAACGAUGAAUGCUAGUCGUCGGAGAGCUCGUCUCUUCGGUGAUGCAGUUAACACAUUAAGCAUUCCGCCUGGGGAGUACGGUCGCAAGAUUAAAACUCAAAGGAAUAGACGGGGACCCGCACAAGUGGUGGCAUGUGGUUUAAUUCGAAGAUACGCGAAGAACCUUACCUGGCCUUGACAUUGAUAGAAUUCGGUAGAGAUACUGAAGUGCCUUUCGAGGAACUUGAAAACAGGUGCUGCACGGCUGUCGUCAGCUCGUGUCGUGAGAUGUUGGGUUAAGUCCCGCAACGAGCGCAACCCUCGUCCUUAGUUGCUAACAGUUCGGCUGAGCACUCUAAGGAGACUGCCUUCCAAGGAGGAGGAAGGUGAGGACGACGUCAAGUAUCAUGG